AUCACUUCUCAGCCUUUUGGCUAAGAUCAAGGGUAGUAUCAGUUCUUAUCAGUUCUUUUUUUUUUUCUCUCUCUCUUUUGAGACAGAGUCUCGCUCUGUUGCCCAGGCUGGAGUGCAGUGGCGCAAUCUCGGCUCACUGCAACCUCC
ensembl:snRNA U2 U2 spliceosomal RNA